rnacentral:RNase_P_RNA from 1 species
CCAGCUGGCUGGGCGGCCGCAGUCGCAGGUGCCGAAAGGCCGCGAUUGAGGAAAGUCCGGGCUCCAGGAAACACGGCGCCGGCUAACGGCCGGCGGGGGCAACCCCAGGGAAAGUGCCACAGAAAGCAAACCGCCCCGCCUGCCAAGCGACCGCACCAUCGGCCGCUUGGCUGGCGGGGCAAGGGUGAAAGGGUGGGGUAAGAGCCCACCGCGAGCCUGGUAACAGGGUCGGCACGGCAAACCCCGCCGGGAGCAAAACCGAAUAGGGAUGGCGCGAAGGGCAACCUUCGGGGCAGUUUCCAGCCUUGUCAUCCGGGUAGGUUGCGUGAGGCGUGCAGCAAUGCCCGCCCAAGAAGAAUGGCCGCCACGUUUCUGCCUGCGGGCAGGGGCCAUACAGAACCCGGCUUAUAGGCCGGCUGGCACU